rnacentral:lncRNA from 1 species
CUGAAACAUUAACAGGUUAAUUUCUCAUGUUUCCUUUGCAGGAGUCUACCCCUACCCACUGUGAAGCUUCUAGAGAGCAAAAAUUAAAAGCACUUCCCAGGACACAUUUUUCAACUAUAAAGAAAGGUUUCUCCUCUUCCUUCAGAGCAAGGCUGAUCCAGAGCUGCUGCGGAAUACAUACCAUUGGAGGAUAAAGGGAAUAGGAAGAGUGAAGAGAAGGAAAUGGGG